UGUGUGCAGGGCGGCGCUGCACGGCCCGCACACCGUCCUAGGCUGCCCGGCCCUCCCUACCAGGGACAACGCGAUUGCCGGGUCAGUGCGGGGUGGGCCCGCUUCCAGGGGAUGGGGGGGGCCCACCCCGUCACACCCCCCAAACCACUGUGCCUCAGCCUUGCAAGAGGGCUCUCUCUUUUAAAGAUGGCUCUGGAUGCAUCACUUAUUGUGAAAAUUAUCUGCAAUUUAUCCUGCCUCUUGUCUUGAUGCAGUCUGGUGCAACUCAGCAGCUCAGCCACUGAACCGCAGAAAUAAUUUUGAGCCAGAUAUGCUUUGAGCCAGCCCAGAGGGAGGAGGUAUUUAAAAGGCAGAACUGAAAAAUCCAGAACUUCCUCGAUGUGGCCUUCAAAGCAACACCCACAUGGGUCAGGAACAGCAUGGACACAGAGCUCUGUCACUGACUCUAAGGGUACCUGUGUCUCCGGCAAGUCAGUCUGGAAGUCGAGGGCGGUGUCAUCCCAGCAGGGUCCAGGCAGCCCAAUCCAGGCUUCAGUAGGUUGGAACCUUGCAGUUUCCAGUGGGUUCCCCAG